rnacentral:rRNA from 1 species
UGAUGCAUAGCCGACCUGAGAGGGUAAUCGGCCACAUUGGGACUGAGACACGGCCCAAACUCCUACGGGAGGCAGCAGUAGGGAAUCUUCCGCAAUGGACGCAAGUCUGACGGAGCAACGCCGCGUGAGUGAAGAAGGUUUUCGGAUCGUAAAACUCUGUUGUAAGAGAAGAACAAAUUGUAGAGUAACUGCUACAGUCUUGACGGUAUCUUACCAGAAAGCCACGGCUAACUACGUGCCAGCAGCCGCGGUAAAU